GUAGCGCUGCCUGCAAACCAGCACCAAGGCUGCAAACGAAGCCAGAAAGAUGGUGGCCAGCACACCUAUGGCAACUAUCACCACGGUCUCCAUGCUUCCGGGGAGCUCCUGACUCAGUCCCGUUCACAUCGUCCUCAUGGGCUAAGGCUGCUGGAAGUGGCAAACUGGGGGAAGAGGAUGGCAGGAGCUAGGUUCCUCCACGACACCUCCAGAGACCUGAGGGCCUCAAGCUGCAGCUCCGGGGCACAUCCCGCUGCGCUCCCACGACGGCCCCGCGGAUGGCAAAGUCAGCGGCAUCGCCUAUGCAGGCAAUCAAAGGAUGUUGAUGGAUAAGUGUUUCAGGCAGAAUAAUGGCCCUCAAAGAUGUUGACACCAGAAUCUUCAGAACCUUUGCAUAUGUUACCUAACAUGACAAAAGGGACUUUGCUGAUGUGAUUAAGGUUAAGAACUUUGAGAAGGGAAGAUUAUCCUGGAUUAUACAGGUCGACGUUUAUUUCUUUCUGAACUUUCCUGGAGGAUCAUCGGCCAUACUCCAGCAGAAGGGUGGAUUUGAAAAAAUAACGUUUCCACGGCAACAGUGGCAGCAAUUCAAAGGAAGACGUUGGAGAAUUCACAUGCUAUUUUAGCUGGCUCUGUGAUUGCAAUCACACAAAUCAUUACAUUCCAGCGAGAUCCCAUCAACAGAAGGUUUUUCCAUUUCAGUCUGUCAAGGAGAUACUCCCAAAGUCCCAUCCAGUUAUAUCAUCAGGUUGAAAUUCCAGGAUCUCUUGGUGAUGGGUAGUUAUCUCCAAGUGUGGCUCCUGGGGUCAGAUCACCUACAGUCUAAGAGAAGGUUCUUUUUCUCCGCCAAUGGUGAUAGAUUUGGCACCAAAAAAAGAAGAGAAGAAACAUGACAGUCAUUGUUUCCACAGUGAUUUUAGGUUGUUUUAUUAAAGUUCAUUGCUGAGAACACAAAGGCUGAUGCCACAGAGGGGAAAACGCCAGAUCCACCACCGAACAGCUAAAGCCAUAUGCGCCUGCUCCAUGAAUGCCCAUUUUUCAUCUUUAGUGGGCUUCAAAGUUAAAUAGCACAGACAACACAAAGGAAAAUAUGACCGCAGCAAAAGACAGAAACUACACUGUGGCUACAAUUAAAUCUUCAUACC
rnacentral:lncRNA from 1 species